UUAAAUAGCCGCAGUAUUUUGACUGUGCGAAGGUAGCAUAAUCAUUUGUCUUUUAAUUGAAGGCUUGUAUGAAUGGCUGGAUGAGGGAAUAACUUUCUUUACAUUAAUUAAUUGAAUUUAAUUUUUGAGUCAAAAAGCUUAAAUUUUUAAGUGGGACGAGAAGACCCUAUAGAAUUUUAUUUUUUUUAUUAUGUUUAAUUAUUUUAGUAUUUAAAUGGUGAGCAUGAUUAUAAAUUUUGUUGGGGUGACAGUGAGAUUUAUUUAACUCUCAUAUAUUAUAAUUUAUUUUUAAUUAUAUUAAAGAUCCUAUUUUAUGGAUAUUUAGAUUAAAUUACCUUAGGGAUAACAGCGUUAUUCUUCUUGAGAGUUCAUAUCGAUGGAGGAGUUUGCGACCUCGAUGUUGGAUUAAAAUUAGAUUUAAGUGCAGAAGCUUAAACUUCUAGGUCUGUUCGACCUUUAAAAUUUUACAUGAUCUGAGUUCAAACCG
rnacentral:rRNA from 1 species